rnacentral:rRNA from 1 species
GUUGAUCCUGGCUCAGGAUGAACGCUGGCGGUCUGCUUAACACAUGCAAGUCGAACGCAACCUUCGGGUUGAGUGGCGGACGGGUGAGUAACGCGUGAGAAUCUGCCUUGGGGUCGGGGACAACCACUGGAAACGGUGGCUAAUACCGGAUAAGCCUUUGGGUAAAAGAUUUAUUGCCCCAAGAGGAGCUCGCGUCUGAUUAGCUAGUUGGUGAGGUAAAAGCUCACCAAGGCAGCGAUCAGUAGCUGGUCUGAGAGGACGAUCAGCCACACUGGGACUGAGACACGGCCCAGACUCCUACGGGAGGCAGCAGUGGGGAAUUUUCCGCAAUGGGCGAAAGCCUGACGGAGCAAGACCGCGUGAAGGAGGAAGGCUCUUGGGUUGUAAACCUCUUUUCUCAGGGAAGAAGCUCUGACGGUACCUGAGGAAUCAGCCUCGGCUAACUCCGUGCCAGCAGCCGCGGUAAUACGGAGGAGGCAAGCGUUAUCCGGAAUUAUUGGGCGUAAAGCGUCCGCAGGUGGCGAUUCAAGUCUGCUGUCAAAGCACGGGGCUUAACUCCGUUAAGGCAGUGGAAACUGAAUAGCUAGAGUGCCGUAGGGGUAGAGGGAAUUCCCGGUGUAGCGGUGAAAUGCGUAGAGAUCGGGAAGAACCAUCGGUGGCGAAAGCGCUCUACUGGACGGCAAACUGACACUCAGGGACGAAAGCUAGGGGAGCGAAUGGGAUUAGAUACCCCAGUAGUCCUAGCUGUUAAACGAUGGAUACUAGGUGUAGCUUGUAUCGACCCGAGCUGUGCCCGAAGCUAACGCGUUAA